UUUAUUUCCCAUAGGUUUUGUACAUAGCCAACAUGGCUGCCGGCGGACAAUUUGAAGGUUGAUUUUGGAGGGUCAAUGUUUUAUUCAUGAGAAUGACGUCAAAAUACGCAUAAUGCACUUGUAUGAUUGGAUAAAACGCUAAUGUUUUAUUCAUGUACUCAUGCAUUAAACAUUUUUUCCGUCCCACAAUUCCCUACGAUAUCUGUGCGAAGUGUCGUUCUUUUGGACUCUGCGAAUUUCAAGUUUCUGAAACGAAAUAGCUAGACUAAUUAUCUGUUUAUAGAAUUGAUGUUCGAAAUCAUGGUAUCUGAGUGAACUUCAUUGGAGCAGAAAAUCUUGGAGGGAACAUCAAUACUAUUGUAAUGACAUUCCAUAGGAAUAAAAAUCCAAUGGGACCAAGUUCUUAGCAGUUCACACCUAGUCAGAAGUACAAAAUUGAGAACCAUGCCGAUCGGCAAGUGUUAGUUACAAUCUAAUGAGGAACAGGAUAUCUGAAUGGAAAAAUUGCAAGGUUUCCCACUUCCCAAGCUGUUCAAGUACUGGUAUCACAACAUAAGUGCCAAGAAGAGAUAUGAAGGCCAAGUUAAUAAAAAGUAGUUACUUUAUUGCAAUAACACAUUAAAAAUGAAUUAAUUUGAAAUAAAUAUAUUAAUAAAGCAUUGAAUGUUACUUGAACUACACAUCUGUAGAAAAGAGUGCGGUACAAGUUCAGGUUCAUCACAGGGGCCUUGGAACGGUUUUCAAAGUGGGGGCUGACCAUGCAAAAAAUCACAAUCGUACGUAAUUUUUACGUUUUUGUACAUGGUUUUGGAAAAAAGUCGGGGCUGAAGCCCGCCUCCCCCCGCUUCCGCGGCCCCUGCAUCACCGGGCAAUGACAUUGAAGUAUACAAGUUUUGGUACAAAAUUUCACACAAAAUACAAGGAAGAAAUAUUUUUCCAACGGGCAAAUGUAUCACCUUUUAUUGAUAUUUUAUACUUCUACUAGUUCUUAGUAGUUUUUACGAAAAUAAAUAUUAUUUUCCAGUUUAAAGGCCUAUUCAAUAUUAGAAUAGGUCUUCUUUUAGUGACAUACUUAGGGUUGUAAGACAAAAAAUAUUGUAUUUUGAAAUAAAAAUCAUGCAUAGCUUAAUGAUAAUAAAGGUGAUCAGAAGAUUAAGAAAUAAUGUUAGUAUCACUCCUGGACCUUAUUUCAUAAACAAGUUAUUACUAUUGCAGUCUUGUCAUUAUCAUGGUAAAAGGGCUGAGCAAGAAAUUAAGGUUUUUAUGUUACCUAAAACAGGCUGGGGGCAAAGUUACCAUGAUUACAAGUCUUCAGUGGGGUAACUAUGGGGGAC